GGCCAGGUCCCACGCAAUCCGAAUUUUCCAACCCCGUCAGGAUCGGAAGAUAGCAGCGGUACGAAAGCCCUCGGAUGUGCCGUGGAGCCGCCUGGCCCGU
rnacentral:SRP_RNA from 1 species